rnacentral:rRNA from 1 species
UACGAAGGGGGCUAGCGUUGCUCGGAAUUACUGGGCGUAAAGCGCACGUAGGCGGCUUUCUAAGUCUGGGGUGAAAUCCUGGAGCUCAACUCCAGAACUGCCUUCGAUACUGGAGAGCUCGAGUCCGGGAGAGGUGAGUGGAACUGCGAGUGUAGAGGUGAAAUUCGUAGAUAUUCGCAAGAACACCAGUGGCGAAGGCGGCUCACUGGCCCGGUACUGACGCUGAGGUGCGAAAGCGUGGGGAGCAAACAGG